UCCACACACCAGCCUAGGGGAAGGCGGGCCCAGCGGAAGUGCGGGGCGCCCAGUAGGCGCUGGGUCGCUCCGGCGGGCGGAAGUGCGGGGCGCAGGACGGAAGCGGUGACACAGGCGGAAGCGGCGGCUCAGAAGCAAAAUGCUCUGGUUUCAAGGAAAUAGCAUGCAAUUUGCCAACUACUCCUUUAAACUCUUCCUGAGAAAUCUCUCUGCCUCCAGGACUGUUUUGCCUGUGUUGACCUUAUUCACAAAGGAUCCAUGUCCCCUUUGUGAUGAAGCUAAGGAAGUACUGGAGCCUUAUAAAAACAGGUUUAUUUUACAGGAGGUGGACAUCACACUUCCAGAAAACUCUGCUUGGUAUGAGAGGUAUAAAUUUGACAUUCCCGUCUUUCAUUUGAAUGGCCAGUUUCUGAUGAUGCAUCGAGUAAACAUCUCAAAACUUGAAAAACAGCUCCAGAAACUUGAGCAGCAAGGUACUGGAAGCUGAUGAAAGCCCUCGUGAUUUUCCGCCCUCGCUGUCCAGAAGGCAUCUUCCCAAGGAAGUGACCAUGGCCUUGUAUUCCUGUGGUCAACUGUCACACAGCCUAAUAAGCUAAUGCUUUAAAAAGGAGUGGAAUAAACAUUGAAUUUGGUACUGCAUGUUGCUGAUCUUAGUUACAGUGCUGCUGUCUUCCAGAUGUCUCACCAGAGCAUUCUCAGUAAUUCUGGCCAGUUUAUCACAGGAAGCAGAGAUUUGCUCAGGGUAAGGUUGUUUUGUUUGUUUAUAAUAAUCCAGCAACUCGUAGAUGUCUGACAGUAGGAUCAUAGUAGGGCCAGGCCUCAGGAAGUAUUCUGAAGGAACCAUAGAAAUCGAAGCAGAACCCUUCUCACUGUGCCUCAGCUUCUUUCUUUUCCUCUUCUCUCCAGGCUCACCACCUCCCCUGUUUACUCAGAGGAUCAGCUUUCUCAGAGAGAAAGACCUCCCCUCCCACACCUGCAGCAUGUUCUUGCCCAUCAUUCCUGCUGACCCUUCUGUACAUUAAUGGUCUGAGACUUUCAGCUUCUCUAUUCUGAAAUCCCAAAAGAGGAAUUUUGCUUAUCUAGUUUUUACAGCCAGUUACCCAAGUCGUGUAUUAGCUAAUCAAACUUACAGAGUUACCAUUGGGUCAGGUGCCCAUCCCUUGCCCAAUCAACUAUAGGAACCAUGAUCAUUUGGU